rfam:Nasonia vitripennis chromosome 1, whole genome shotgun sequence.
CAAUCGGCCCUUUUCAGGGCCACCAAAAAAUUCAAACGUUGAAAC